rnacentral:rRNA from 1 species
ACGCUGGCGGCAGGCCUAACACAUGCAAGUCGAGCGGUAGAGAGAAGCUUGCUUCUCUUGAGAGCGGCGGACGGGUGAGUAAUGCCUAGGAAUCUGCCUGGUAGUGGGGGAUAACGUUCGGAAACGGACGCUAAUACCGCAUACGUCCUACGGGAGAAAGCAGGGGACCUUCGGGCCUUGCGCUAUCAGAUGAGCCUAGGUCGGAUUAGCUAGUUGGUGGGGUAAUGGCUCACCAAGGCGACGAUCCGUAACUGGUCUGAGAGGAUGAUCAGUCACACUGGAACUGAGACACGGUCCAGACUCCUACGGGAGGCAGCAGUGGGGAAUAUUGGACAAUGGGCGAAAGCCUGAUCCAGCCAUGCCGCGUGUGUGAAGAAGGUCUUCGGAUUGUAAAGCACUUUAAGUUGGGAGGAAGGGUUGUAGAUUAAUACUCUGCAAUUUUGACGUUACCGACAGAAUAAGCACCGGCUAACUCUGUGCCAGCAGCCGCGGUAAUACAGAGGGUGCAAGCGUUAAUCGGAAUUACUGGGCGUAAAGCGCGCGUAGGUGGUUUGUUAAGUUGGAUGUGAAAUCCCCGGGCUCAACCUGGGAACUGCGUUCAAAACUGACUGACUAGAGUAUGGUAGAGGGUGGUGGAAUUUCCUGUGUAGCGGUGAAAUGCGUAGAUAUAGGAAGGAACACCAGUGGCGAAGGCGACCACCUGGACUGAUACUGACACUGAGGUGCGAAAGCGUGGGGAGCAAAC